CCCCGACACACCCCCCACCUCGGGAUUUGGCUUGCGUUCCCCUAGCGGGGACUCGGCCAGGCUCCCGACAACGAACCCCGGCGCUAUCUGCGCCAAGGAAACCUUAACUAAAGAGCUGGCCCCCCGAUGUCCCGUUCGCGGUGUGCACGGGAGGCAUACGCAUCUUUUGAAUCUAAAACGACUCUCGGCAACGGAUAUCUCGGCUCUCGCAUCGAUGAAGAACGUAGCGAAAUGCGAUACUUGGUGUGAAUUGCAGAAUCCCGUGAACCAUCGAGUUUUUGAACGCAAGUUGCGCCCAAAGCCAUUAGGCUAAGGGCACGUCUGCCUGGGCGUCACGCAUCACGUCGCCCCAACCCCCAAUAUCGGCCUAUCUUGCUGGAUAUUGCAGGAGUUGGGGCGGAAAUUGGCCUCCCGUCCACGACCGUGCGCGGUUGGCCCAAAAAAAGAGAGAGUUCUUGACGACGGACGUCACGACAAGUGGUGGUUGAAAGACCUCUUGCAUCAUGUCGUGAGGCACCGAGUCUCUGGCGAGCUCUGACCGUGACCCUGCGCGCCUUCUUUCGGGAUGGCGCUCCGACCGCGACCCCAGUCAGACGGAUAUCCAGAUUUUUC
rnacentral:rRNA from 1 species